UGUGAGUUGAGACGGUGGGGGGACCGGUGGAGGAGCGGAGGUUGGAGGGAGGCAGUGGCGGUGGUAAUCGAGACACCUGCUCCAGCUGACCAGCUAGCAUCAGGGAGGGCGAAGCGGAGGGGAGGUGGGGACGCUAGCCCGGAGCUAGCACCUGACUCGCGACUUUUAUUUCAAAAAAAAUUCUCUCCCCCCCCCCUCCCCUGGAAACGUGGCCUUAAAGAGGAUUCGCGUCGGUCGGCUCCGACACACGGUUUCCACGCCGCGGGCGAGCGAUACAAAAAAAAAAAAAAAAAACAGCCGAGGCGGCGUUAGCACGGAAGGCUAACACGUUACAAAGAAGCACCCUCGCUACUAGCAAAAACUGCUACCGAACGAGCGCCCCUCCGCCUGACAAAAAAAAAGAAGAAGAAGAAAAAAAAACAAACUCCCCAAGCGUUCACGUCUUAAAAGAAAUAAGAAGAAACGUUCGAAUGUUAAGUAACUCAAGGAAUGGGAGAUUAGGUCAAAUAAAAAAAAAAGGAUGUUUCCAAACCUGCUUAUGGAGCGGCGGGGGAAUCCACACUGUUGGGGAAGGCUUGGAAACGCGCGCCGAUAAUACCCAGAGACGCUCGUCACCUGUGUCGCAGACCCCGCUGCCCCCGAAGGCGUCCGCUUGGAUCAGGUGACCGGACUCGAGCCCCGCUGACAUCCCGUCGUAAGGAAAGAGCGCCUCCAUCUGCCCUGAGAGACCCGCGAGGGCCCAGGACCGCGGCGGUGACGAGAUACCAUCCAACAAGUACCUCGGCCGUGGUUCGCUGCCGGUUCGGGGGUCCGACCGGGCUGCGCGGAGGCGGCGGCGGGAGGGUGCGGCAGGCGCGGCGCUGGCGGGCAGGGGUCGGCGCAGAAGAGCUGGCGGUGUUGAGGAUCGACAAACCUGAAAUAUCACACAGUCAACUGUCUCUCCGCAGCGGAAUGGGACUUGACGUGCUUCCGCAGAGAGCUGGGAUCGGUGUAGCGCUUCGCACAGCCCGGCACUUGGCACGCGUGGGUGCGCUGGUGCUUGGCUCUGUCACUGGAGUUGCUGAAGGCCUUGAAGCAUCCCGGGUGCUGGCAAGGGUACGGCUUCUCCCCCGUGUGGCUGCGCAAGUGGAUCUUCAGGUUUUCCAGGCGGGAGAAGGCCUUCUUGCAGCCCUUGAACUGCGGAGGUGAAAAAAAAAAAAAGAAAAGAAGAGAGGAGGAGUGGCAUUUUAAUCACGGCUUCAUAAUGCUACAGCCAAUGUUCGUGAUGCAGUACCUGCCAGCAGGGAGCAGUGUCACCGCACAUGAUGUGGAACCUGAACUCAACGGACCUCGAACUCAAAACCGUCGUGCACCAGUGGAGGGGCAGUAUUGCCACAUUGUCAGCUGCAGGGAGCGUUUUUAAGGAGCUCAACAACAAACAGCAUUAGGCAGUCUGCCGUGGCGCACCGCUGCACUGCAUCAUUCUGCACCACGACGACAGUAUCGGCACUCCCGGAGGCGGCGGGGCAUCCAUUCCAGGUGUCACGGCGGGCCCGACCGAUUCCUCUGGAAGUUGGACCGCAACAGUCACUUAAGGGUUCGCCGCCAUCAUCUCGCGCCGUUUGUCGCACGAUUCACGCUCGCGCCAAACUCAUAAGCCGCGGAACGGCGCGCCCUGCGAAAGAAAGGAAUCCAUCUUCCUCGAAUUCACGUCCCUCCUCCUUCUGUCGCGUUGCUGUCACGAGAUGAAGACGAGCGUGAGGGCGAUGUUCUUCCGAGUGUCCUCCAUCUCCAUCCAUCAAUCCGGCGCGGGACGUCUCCGACGACCGCAGGUUGAGCCGCUUUCCUCGACCCUCCCCUGGGAGCAAUCGACGCGGUGACGCCUCGGGGUGCGACUGCCGCGCGCUCACACUUCUUCUUCUUGGGUGCGCUCAACGGCGGAUUAACAAUUAAGUGAGGGGGAGGUAUAAUAAGGACAUAUGCACAUGAUACACAAAGAAGACAGGAGGCCCCGUGCCAAACAUAUUUGUGCGAACACGCUGUGGCGACCCCCGAAAGGGACAAGCCGAAAGAAACAACACAAAGAAGACAGUCACAACCGGAUAAGGAAACGUUGCCGAUUCCAGCACUCUUUCCAUUCGGCUACGAGGUCCCUUGCUGUCGUCACGCCGCCACGAGGAAAAAAAAAAAAAAAAAAAAGGAAGUCUCAGCCUUGAUGGACAGGCAAAUCGAUAUUUAUACUUUGGCCGCCUGUUUUUGGUCCCCCCCCCCCCCCCCGCUCCCUCUCUCGUCCCGCAGGCGUAGCGGCGGCGGUAAUGGAAGAGGACUGUAAAUAAGUGGAAGGUUCUUGACAAAUGAAUCCAUUAACAUUUGCCUGUGUCGCCUGGCGAGCAGAUUUGCUGUUUUAUGGAGCAGUGGGGGGGGGGGUGAAGGAAGAGGGGAAAAAAAAAAAAGAGAGCCAGUAAAUCUGAGGGUGCCGUUAAGGGCGAAGCGCCGCCGCCGCCGCGCACGUCUCCCGCGAUGCGGCACUUUAGCUCCGUCCCCGAACGGCGUCUUUAUCCGCCUAAAUGAAGUUUUGAUUCCUCGCCGCAUACGGCGCCGCAAAUCACUUUUAAUACGGGAGCGGCGGUGAAGCGUCGCCCGGCGCCGACGCCGAGGUCGCCCACGCGGGCGGCGGGGGGGGGCGGAGCCGGGCUUUUAUCCCCGUACCCGGAAAUGGAACCGUGAUCCUCAUACCUGUCAACUUUUCGGAGCGCCAACCUGCGGAAACUACCGAAAAAAAAUAUAUAUAUAUUUGUAGAGAGCAAAAAUAAAAUACUUAUAACAAAGCAAAUUAUACGUCAAAAUAACGGAGGGAAAAAACCCCACAAAAUUUUUCAAUGAUUUUUAUUGUAGAUUUCCAUAAUGCUAAUAUCUGAAGUUAAUGUCUAAUUCUAUUCUAUUUUUAUUCUAAAUUUUAUCAGCCAGGCUUCAAUACCGCAAAUAUUUGUAAGAGAGGUUCACCAAAGAGAAUCAGUGGCGGGAAAAGAAAAAUGUUUUUGAAAGAUUCCAUAUCUACUGAAUCUAUCAAUCUCAAUUCCUUAUUUUUAAUGAAUUCAAUUAUAUUAUCGUCAGCUGUUAUAAAAACAUGACAAGCUAGAAUGCUAGCAAGAGCGCUACAAUAAUCCCGUGUAUUUGUAAUGAGGCCCUGGCGGCUCACUAGCGAGCACGCACACUACAUUAGCCACGAGCUAAGUCCAAUUAAUUUGAGCCGCAUAUGAUCAAAGUCAAGAUAAAAAAAAAAAAAUGAAGUAAUACCCCCCGUAUUGCUCCUAUCGCGAUACGUCAGCGUCGCCAAUAGCGUAUCGCUAACGAUUUGAUCGAUUGUGGCAGGUAGCCGAGAGCCGGGCGGCAGCUCCUGGGCCGCAGCCCACGAAAAUCUUUACGUUUGGGAUUCCCCAGCUUUGGGUUUUCCCCACGAUAGAUUCGACUAGCAAACGGAAAUUUUCAGAAUCCGUAUGAUUUGUGAUAUACGCGCGUACACGUACGAUUCGCCGCAAAAUCCGUGUGAACUACGGCUAAACCGUACCGGUAUGGAUUCGACUCGACUCAUUUGACUCUAAACUAAACGCAAAUCCUUAAAGCGACGUAAUUGAUAGCUAUGAUUCAUUUCUUGUUGCGUUAUCGCGCUCUGGUGCUUAUCUGUGAUAUUAUAAUCAUGUAAAGUGUGUGUGCGCACACGUAACUGUUCCAUCACCAGAACCGCAUUACGCGGCCCGCGCAUUAGCGUCUUCCAUUUUUGUUAGUUUGUUUACGGGCCGGCCCGACUGUCUGCCUCCUCGUCUAAUUGAGCGAUCGCCCGACGGGCGAAGAGUCGGGGCCGAGUGGCCAAAUGCAUUAUGGGACGUCUGGUCUGGCUGUUAAGAACCAGUGUUUCGUCGGAGCGGGGAAUUUCACCCGCGCCCGCGUGCGGACGAUUCAUAUUUGCCUCAAUCGUGAUUUCACAGGGCGGAAAAGGCGGGUCGUUUGUCCGCUUCGCAGCUCAUCUCGCAAACACAAUGAAUAAAUACAUAUUUAAGGUUGUCGCCCGAAACUCUGACUUCUUCCCUUACGUGAAUGUGAUUUUCAUUAAAGAUUUGAAAUUGUCCAGAGGUGCGAGUGCGAAUGUUUCUUUGCAUUUCUCGUGCAUUUUAUACUCAUUUUUCUGAAGGAUGGACUUCCGUCCUGAAACUGGCCAUGUCCGUACUGA